CAGCCUGUGCUUGCUGGGCUGUUUUUGACUAAGAGUUUCCUUUUCUCCUUCUCCCAGGCUCCCUCUGCCUUGGGAAGCUGUGGAUCUCUGUGACGGGAGUUUGUUUUUUACCAACUACACCAGGACUCAUCUGAACGGCUGCGAAACCGGAGGUCAUUGCCAAAUCUAAACCACGGCAGUGUGAGAUAGGCUCAAAAUGAGCUGCUCCAGUACUUUAAUACGUACCAACAAUUGGCUAUGUUAUGGAAUCCACGAUGUGGCCUUCACUGUUGACCUCUGCAACACAAUUCCCAGUCUGACUACGGAAACUGUUUGGUUUGAUCCUUUCAACUUAUUUGAAUCCUGACAAAUAAGCUCACAGCUGAAAGGUCAACACAGUCAUAUUUCAUCCUCUGGAGCUAUUCUUAAGACAUCUGCACAACAAAGCACUUCUUUUAGUACCUGACACUGGACCUAGCCAGCACAAUCUCUCAUUAAAAAUGUCCCCAGUGGAAGAGUCUAUUAAAAGGCAUAUGGAUCAGCUAUGGAUUUACCAAAUAAAAUAUUUUUGAAAGCAUUAAUGUAACGCUUUGGAUUACGGCUCUCGGCGCUGCCAAUAAAAUGUAUAUUUGCCCAAUGACAAAAUGCUUCAUACUUUCCAAAAGAAUAAUAGCCCGGCUGUAAAGCAUGAGGUGUUGUCCAGCAGCUGGAGCACAGGGGUGGGAGCCAGGAACUCAUGAAUCUUAAUCCUACCUCUAAACCCAAUUCCCUCUGUGAUCCUGAGUGAGUUGCUUAACUCGCAUCCCUCAGUUUCCCAGUCCAGAACUGGGAUAAUGCUACUUACUUAUCAGACUUUCCUUCUGGGGAUGUUUUGGAGAUUAGUAUUUGCAAAAUGCUUUGAAGAUGAAAUCACUACGCCAAAGCUCAAAAUUGUCCACGCUGGGCCAAGGGCUGCAGUUAACAGCUAUUCCUCACUCAGGCAAAACUCCCCUUGAAGUCUCCAUCAGCUUUAUUUGGGUAAGAACCACAGAAUUGGGCCCUCUCACUUUACUGUCAAGGCCUAAAAAGCGAUGUUGGCUUUACCUUCCAUAUUCUACUACAUAU